rnacentral:rRNA from 1 species
AAUUCGAUUUUGGAGGGCAAGUCUGGUGCCAGCAGCCGUUGUGAUUCCAGCUCCAAUAGCGUAUAUUAAAGUUGUUGCAGUUAAAAAGCUCGUAGUUGAAUUUCGGGAUCAAUAUGUAGGUCGUGCCUCGGUACGUACUUGCAUCAUUGAUUUCUCCCUUCUGAUGAACCAUGAUGCCAUUAAUUUGGUGUUAUGGGGAAUCAGGACUGUUACUUUGAAAAAAUUAGAGUGUUUAAAGCAGGCACACGCUUGAAUACAUUAGCAUGGAAUAAUGAAAUAGGACGUUUGAUUCUAUUUUGUUGGUUUCUAGGAUCGACGUAAUGAUUAAUAGGGAUAGUUGGGGACAUUAGUAUUCAGUUGUCAGAGGUGAAAUUCUUGGAUUUAUUGAAGACUAACUACUGCGAAAGCAUUUGCUAAGGAUGUUUUCAUUAAUCAAGAACGAAAGUUAGGGGAUCGAAGACGAUCAGAUACCGUCGUAGUCUUAACCAUAAACUAUGCCGACUAGGGAUCGGAUGAUGUUAAUUUUUUAAUGACUCAUUCGGCGCCUUACGGGAAA